CUAUGCGCCUUGCCAGCCCGCUCAGUCAGAGUUUGAUCCUGGCUCAGAACGAACGCUGGCGGCAGGCCUAACACAUGCAAGUCGAGCGAGCAUUUCGGUGCUAGCGGCGGACGGGUGAGUAACGCGUGGGAACGUGCCCUUUUCUGCGGAAUAGUCCUGGGAAACUGGGGGUAAUACCGCAUACGCCCUUUUGGGGAAAGAUUUAUCGGAGAAGGAUCGGCCCGCGUUGGAUUAGGUAGUUGGUGGGGUAAUGGCCCACCAAGCCGACGAUCCAUAGCUGGUUUGAGAGGAUGAUCAGCCACACUGGGACUGAGACACGGCCCAG
rnacentral:rRNA from 1 species